rnacentral:rRNA from 1 species
GGUUAAGUGACUAAGCGUACACGGUGGAUGCCUUGGCAGUCAGAGGCGAUGAAAGACGUAGUAACUUGCGAUAAGCCCAGAUUAGGUAGUAACAACCAUUUGAGUCUGGGAUUUCUGAAUGGGGAAACCCACGUGCAUAAGCACGUAUCCUUACCUGAAUACAUAGGGUAAGGAGGCGAACCGGGGGAACUGAAACAUCUAAGUACCCCGAGGAAAAGAAAUCAACCGAGAUUCCGAAAGUAGCGGCGAGCGAAAUUGGACUAGCCCUUAAGCUUUACACGCGUUAGACGAACGGUCUGGAAAGUCCGACGAUACAGGGUGAUAGUCCCGUAGUUGACGACGUGUGUUCAGUGAAAUCGAGUAGGGCGGGACACGUGAUAUCCUGUCUGAAUAUGGGGGGACCAUCCUCCAAGGCUAAAUACUACUGACUGACCGAUAGUGAACCAGUACCGUGAGGGAAAGGCGAAAAGAACCCCUGUGAGGGGAGUGAAAUAGAACCUGAAACCGUGUACGUACAAGCAGUAGGAGCAGGCUUUGUCCUGUGACUGCGUACCUUUUGUAUAAUGGGUCAGCGACUUAUAUUCAGUGGCAAGGUUAACCAUCUAGGGGAGCCGUAGGGAAACCGAGUCUUAACUGGGCGUUCAGUCUCUGGAUAUA